CUUCUCUGCAGAAUGAGGAUUCUCUUUUAAGGAAAACUCAGAAGCAAUAUUCUGACAUUAUUGGAAACUACAUUUGUCAUUGGCUCCCCACACCAAUUUACCUUCCCUCUUUCCCUCUUUAUCAUCAGUGCGGAAAGAAUGCACUUAUAAGUGUCUUGGACAGAGUGAGUAUCUUCUGGAACAUUUUUGCACUGGUGAAAAGUUGUUCUGCUUUUGUAGGGCUUUGUGCCAUGAAGUCAGUGAAUAUGCCAAUCCACUCUGCCUGGUUCAGCAACAGGGUCUGUCUGCUCCCACAGCACCUGCUGAGGAUGAGUCAAUCCUCUUUCAGUUGAAUAUAAUUCUUAGCCACGUUAUCUUGUCUAAUAGGAGCGAAAAGCAACCAGAAAGAUUUCCUGAGGAAUUGCUGGCACAUGCAAAUGGAAACUGCUCAUUUUAAUUUUGGUUGUCAUGACGUUUCUUCAGUUACCUCAUUGACGGGAAUCAUCACACCUCUUUACACUGUUUUCAGCCUUACUGUCUGGAAAACACAGACUUGUUUUCUUAUUUGGAUAGCCUAAGAAAAAACCAUGAACAAGUCUGGAUGUUAUGGUUCUCCCGAGUGUUGCAUAGAUGCAGAAAAUGUCAUUUGGAGCUUUAACCUAUCAAGAGUAUAAUUAAAUGGCAGUCAAACA
rnacentral:lncRNA from 1 species